GUCGUAGCUCAGUGGUAGAGUAUCGGCCUUGCAAGCAAAAGGUUCCAGGUUCAAUCCCCGCCAUCUCCA